rnacentral:rRNA from 1 species
AAUUAUUAUUAGAUUUUUAAAUAAUUAUUCACGAAAUAAAUUGAGCUAAAUUUUUGGUAUUUUUGGAAAUUAUAACUAUAUGUUACAAAAUAUAUUAACUAAAUAGAUUUAGGGGUGAAAGGCCUAUCAAAUUUUAUGAUAUCUUGAAGUAUAUAAAAUAUAUCAAGUAUUUCUAAUUCAACUAUUGAAUGUUUAGGUUCAAUAGUAACAUUAUAUUUUUUAAAAAAUUGUUCAAUUUUUUUAAGUAAAAUUGAGUUAGAGCAUAAAAUAUACAUCAAAUUUUUAUUAUAUGAAUAUAAAUAUACUACGGUUAUUAAUAAAUAUAAUCAUAUAUAAUGUAAUUAUUAGUAAUAGUUUAUUAAACUAUAUAAAGGAAUUCGGCAAGAAAAUUUUUCACCUGUUUAUCAAAAACAUAGCUUAUUGAAUAUCAUAAUAAGUAACCCCUGCUCAAUGGAAAUCUAAAUAGCCGCAGUACCUUGACUGUGCAAAGGUAGCAUAAUCAAUUGGCUUAUAAUUGAAGUCUGGAAUGAAUGGGUAAUCUGGAAAAUAACUGUCUUUAUUUGUAGUAUUUUGAAUUUACUUAUAAAGUGAAAAUACUUUAAUAUAAAUAUAAGACGAGAAGACCCUAGAAAUUUUUUGUCAAUAACUUUUGUUGGGGCGACAGGGUAACAUAUAAACUUACUUACAUUUAUAUAAAUCUUAUAAGGUACGUAACUAAAUUACUCUAGGGAUAACAGCAUAAUAUAUAAAAGUUUAUGACCUCGAUGUUGGACUAGGUAAUUAAAUAUUUAAAAGAUAUCUUAAUUUGCUCUGUUCGAGCAGUAUCACCUACAU